rnacentral:rRNA from 1 species
GAUGAACGCUGGCGGCGUGCUUAACACAUGCAAGUCGAACGAUGAAGCUCAGCUUGCUGGGUGGAUUAGUGGCGAACGGGUGAGUAACACGUGGGUAACCUGCCCUUAACUCUGGGAUAAGCCUGGGAAACUAGGUCUAAUACCGGAUAGGAGCGCCUACCGCAUGGUGGGUGUUGGAAAGAUUUAUCGGUUUUGGAUAGACUCGCGGCCUAUCAGCUUGUUGGUGAGGUAAUGGCUCACCAAGGCGACGACGGGUAGCCGGCCUGAGAGGGUGACCGGCCACACUGGGACUGAGACACGGCCCAGACUCCUACGGGAGGCAGCAGUGGGGAAUAUUGCACAAUGGGCGAAAGCCUGAUGCAGCGACGCCGCGUGAGGGAUGACGGCCUUCGGGUUGUAAACCUCUUUCAGUAGGGAAGAAGCGAAAGUGACGGUACCUGCAGAAGAAGCACCGGCUAACUACGUG